GCUUCCGUGGCUCAGUUGGUUAGAGCGCAGGUCUCAUAUCAACGUGAUAUGAAGGUCACGUACCUACAAUCCUGAGGUCAUGAGUUCGAUCCUCAUCGGGAGCA